UUGUGUGUGUGUUUGUGUGUGUUUGUGUUCCAGUGCUCCUCUGGAUCAUGAGUACUACGACCCCACUGACUAUCUGGAUGGCAGCCGACAUGAAGUGGAUCGGACAGACGAUCUGGAGUACGAGGAGGUGGAGCUGUACAAAUCCAGCCAACAGGACAAGCUGGGCCUGACUGUAUGCUACAGGACCGAUGAAGAGGAGGAUCUGGGUAUCUAUAUCGGGGAGGUGAACCCAAACAGCAUCGCAGCCAAGGAUGGGAGGAUCAGAGAGGGGGAUCGGAUACUGCAG